CCUGGAAUGAUUUUUUUUACAACUUCGUUCUCAAUGAUUCUGUUUAUGGUGGAUAGUUUAGCUUCACUAAAGAAUUUGAGAAAGCAGUAUCUCAAAAUAGAAACAAUAUAUUACCGGUCACUUUUGAAAAACUAACAACUGCUACUAUUCCGACACUUCGGGAACUUGUGUCGUUUCUUGGUGUG